CGUGCGUGGUUCUAGAAACCACGCUCCUCCAUCCUUUCCGUUCUACAUUUUCGUUUGCUUCUUCUCCGACACAUUUAUGGGAUAUCUACGAAAAGCUAAGUGUGGAUUCUUCCAUUUUGAUUUGGGUUUUUACGAUUUCCUACCGUUGUUGAGUUUAAUUUCUAAGAUUUCUACGAAAAGCUAAUGUAUUUUUGUAUACUGUAUGUGUAGUGAAGACCAAUCCAGUGCAUGUAAGAUCUGAGUACAUAUCUGAUUUUUUUUUCCCUACGAAGGUCACCUAAGAAUACCUACGGAUUGAAGUCUGCCAGAACUGCGAAAAGCUAAGUGUUGGAGCAUGUUUGGAUAACUCAAAUUCCUCACAGCUUGAUUCAUGCUAGAGACAAAACUAUCUUGGUUACGGAUUGCAGUUGGACUGACAUCUUAUGGCUAGUAUUGGGGGAGACAAAACCGAGAGGCUACACUAAGAACUGCCAGUUCACCUGGAGUUCCAUACGGCUUUUCCGACUUUGAGGUUAAGGUGUUUGAUGGAUGUGCAAACCCAUACCUGGGUGUGGCUUCCAUAAUUCCUGCUGGGAUUGACGAUCUGCGCAGACGCUUAUCUCUCCCCAAACCAUUCGGGAAUUUUACAUGGCACUGGGAGCGUCCCCCUGCCACAAAGUCAAGGCAUUCUCCCCUUCCUCCUGAACCAGUUCGUUUCUAUAACAAUGCCUCUAUAAUGGCUCUAUUGAUAUUCCACUUGAUAGCACACUGCGGAUUUAGAAAAGAAAGAGAAGGAGUUGAAGGCUAAAGAGGCUGAACUGAGGAGAUUCAGCCGGCUCUUCUGGAUAUGGAAGCUACGGCGGCCACACCUCAUACAGACAUUUUCCCGUGAUAGGCUCUAAUUUGAUGUUGCUUCCUUUUCGGCUCUAAUUCUUGUAGUGGUUAUUGAUGCAUGAUAGAAUUUUCUAGAUGAGCCUCUUGUGAUAUGUUGAGCCUUUUGGCCUUGCUUUGUUGCAUUGUAUAAGGUAGCUAGGUUGUCUUGGUUAAGGGUGGUCACUUUUGGACCACCCUAGUUUGGUUUAUUUGUUGGCCGGAUGGCCUUUUGAGGACUUUGGCCGGAUGGCCUUUGAGGACUUAGGCCGAAAUAGCCUUGUUGUUUUAGGCCAAGUAUGGCCAUUCUUGUUGGAGACCACUUUUGGGUCUCAUGUAGAACUUAUCUUUGGUUGAAAUAAAUUACAUAGUUAAAAA